AAGAGUUAGGGUCUUCUAGGCCCGACCUCCCAACCCUAUGUUUAUUGAACCUCUGUUGCUUCGGCGGACCCGCUUCACGGCCGCCGGAGGAUUGCCGCGAGGCGUCCUCUGGCCAGCGUCCGUCGAUAGCCAACUACAAAACUCUGCAUAAAUCGUGUCUUAUGUCUAAGUCCAUGAUCAAAUUAAAAGCA
rnacentral:misc_RNA from 1 species